rnacentral:rRNA from 1 species
CUACGGGGGGCUCCAGUGGGGAAUAUUGCACAAUGGGCGCAAGCCUGAUGCAGCCAUGCCGCGUGUAUGAAGAAGGCCUUCGGGUUGUAAAGUACUUUCAGCGGGGAGGAAGGGAGUAAAGUUAAUACCUUUGCUCGUUGACGUUACCCGCAGAAGAAGCACCGGCUAACUCCGUGCCAGCAGCCGCGGUAAUACGGAGGGUGCAAGCGUUAAUCGGAAUUACUGGGCGUAAAGCGCACGCAGGCGGUUUGUUAAGUCAGAUGUGAAAUCCCCGGGCUCAACCUGGGAACUGCAUCUGAUACUGGCAAGCUUGAGUCUCGUAGAGGGGGGUAGAAUUCCAGGUGCAGCGGUGAAAUGCGUAGAGAUCUGGAGGAAUACCGGUGGCGAAGGCGGCCCCCUGGACGAAGACUGACGCUCAGGUGCGAAAGCGUGGGGAGCAAACAGGAUUAGAUACCCGGGUAGUC